GUGCGUGGUACCUGAGAGCUGCAGCUUCACAGUUAGUUGUUGCAGAUUCUCCAACAACAUGCAAGAAAAUGGGAGAGAAUUUGACAGCUUUGUUCCUAUAUUUCCUCUAAUUGUCACUCGACUCUCCUACAUCU